ACCAUACCAAGGCCAUCUUGGGAGAC
rnacentral:piRNA from 1 species